UACAGAGGGGGCGAGCGUUGUCCGGAUUUACUGGGCGUAAAGAGCGCGCAGGCGGUCGUUCAAGUCGAGUGUGAAAGCCCCCGGCUCAACUGGGGAGGGUCAUUCGAUACUGAUCGACUCGAAGGCAGGAGAGGGAAGUGGAAUUCCCGGUGUAGUGGUGAAAUGCGUAGAUAUCUGGAGGAAUACCGGUGGCGAAGGCGGCAUCCUGGACCGGCAUUGACGCUGAGGAGCGAAAGCCAGGGGAGCAAAGCGGG
rnacentral:rRNA from 1 species